AACGAACGCUGGCGGCAUGCCUAACACAUGCAAGUCGAACGAGACCUUCGGGUCUUGUGGCGCACGGGUGCGUAACGCGUGGGAACCUGCCUUUAGGUUCGGAAUAACUCAGAGAAAUUUGAGCUAAUACCGGAUGAUGUCUUCGGACCAAAGAUUUAUCGCCUUUAGAUGGGCCCGCGUUGGAUUAGCUUGUUGGUGGGGUAAAGGCCUACCAAGGCGACGAUCCAUAGCUGGUCUGAGAGGAUGAUCAGCCACACUGGGACUGAGACACGGCCCAGACUCCUACGCGAGGCAGCAGUGGGGAAUAUUGGACAAUGGGCGAAAGCCUGAUCCAGUAAUGCCGCGUGAGUGAUGAAGGCCUUAGGGUUGUAAAGCUCUUUUACCCGAGAUGAUAAUGACAGUAUCGGGAGAAUAAGCUCCGGCUAACUCCGUG
rnacentral:rRNA from 1 species